rnacentral:rRNA from 1 species
GGGUUGUGAGGUUAAGCGACUAAGCGUACACGGUGGAUGCCCUGGCAGUCAGAGGCGAUGAAGGACGUGCUAAUCUGCGAAAAGCGCCGGUGAGGUGAUAUGAACCCUUGACCCGGCGAUGUCCGAAUGGGGAAACCCAGUGUGAUUCGUCACACUAUCGUUAACUGAAUACAUAGGUUAACGAGGCGAACCGGGGGAACUGAAACAUCUAAGUACCCCGAGGAAAAGAAAUCAACCGAGAUUCCCCCAGUAGCGGCGAGCGAACGGGGAGCAGCC